UGUAACGGGCCAAUUGCUCUUAGCAUUCGGAACACUUUAAAUACCAAGCCUGUCCCGUGUGUUUGUUGUGAACUUAACACCCCAAUACUAAUAUGUUGAUUCACUCCAUUAGUUCCAUAUGUAAUUCUAAGCCUUCUUACUGUUAAAAAAAAAAAAAAAACUCUUAAAUAAAAAUAAAAAAUACUGUCUUCCUGGGCAGACUGAGGUUCUCCUCUAAGAGGACAAAGUUGAUGAUUAACUGCAGACUUUCAUCUUGGGCUCCAUAUCUAAUUCUCCGGAUUCACAGGCAGCCCUGCGGAGUCAUACCGCGGCCCCCAGCGCCUGGGGCACAGACACCCACUUCGGUCUGGAUGGAGCCCGCAUCUCCCCUGAGCCAGUGCUGAACACCUCGACCCUUCUCUUCCGCACCUGAGCAGACAGUCGUGCCGAGCGAAGACGCCGUUGUCCCCAGCCCGCUCCCUGCAACGGAGGUCUGGCUAUGGAGCGCUGAAGUCAUGUCGUCAACAAGGUCAGUGGGUAAAAACUGAAGGUGGAAUGACCCUACGUAUGGUGACGUGUCCAUGGAUGUUUGCGGUCAAGACAUGGGGAGCAACAGGAGUAACGGGGGAACAGCAGUCACGCUGUUUCCCAGACGCAAGUGGGCAGGGAGCCGUAAUGUCCCAAGACCAGCGUGCUCUGUGCAUCCCUGAACUCCUCCUACGUGGGACUCUCCGUGACCGUGGAUCCCAAUCGAGUGCUGCCAAAAUAUUCCCUUUUCUCCUAAAAUUCCUUUAUUUUGCAGAAGUUCCAAGUUAAACAAACUCAUUCAGGAAUUACUAAAAUCAAACGUUUGCAAUAAAAAAAGGUUAUAAAGAA